rnacentral:rRNA from 1 species
GACGAACGCUGGCGGCGUGCCUAACACAUGCAAGUCGAGCGAGUGAAUCUCCUUCGGGAGUGAAGCUAGCGGCGGACGGGUGAGUAACACGUGGGCAACCUGCCUCAUAGAGGGGAAUAGCCUUUCGAAAGGAAGAUUAAUACCGCAUAAGAUUGUAGCUUCGCAUGAAGUAGCAAUUAAAGGAGCAAUCCGCUAUGAGAUGGGCCCGCGGCGCAGUAGCUAGUUGGUGAGGUAACGGCUCACCAAGGCGACGAUGCGUAGCCGACCUGAGAGGGUGGUCGGACACAUUGGGACUUAGACACGGCCCAGACGCCUACGGGGGGCAGCAGGGGGGAAUAUUGCACAAUGGGGGAAACCCUGAUGCAGCAACGCCGCGUGAGUGAUGACGGCCUUCGGGUUGUAAAGCUCUGUCUUCAGGGACGAUAAUGACGGUACCUGAGGAGGAAGCCACGGCUAACUACGUGCCAGCCGCCGCCGUAACAC